CGCGCGCCUACUACCGGUGGACCCGCGCCCACGACCUGCGCGGCUUCCUCAACUUCACGCUGGCGCGCGCCCCGCCCUCCUUCGCCGCCGCGCACAACCGCACGUGCAGGUAUCGGGCUUUCCGGGAUGAUGAUGGACAUUAUUCCCAGACCUACUGGAAUCUUCUUGCCAUCCGCCUGGCCUUCGUCAUUGUGUUUGAGGUAGCUGAGGCACCUGCUGCUUCUCCCAUCCAUGGCAUGACGCCCCGACCCUGUGCUUUGCCUAAUUCGAGCACGUGGUGAGGGAUUGGUGCCGUCACUUCCUGCUGUGUCAUCUUGGUCAAAUCAGAGCUCUUCUCUGCACCUGCGUUUUCCCUGGCCUCAUCCUUGGGUUGUGGUGUGGACACUGUGGGUGUCUCCACAGGAGCCCCAGGGCCACGAAAGCUGGGGUGGCCUCUGCCCCUUCUGGGGUUCCUUUUCCUGCACAGCUGCUUUCUGGCUCCACCCACAGCUGGGAGCAGGUGCCGGAGCCCCGGCCUGCCUGGCCCUGUGAAGGCCACUCUGGGCAUUUGGGUGGGGGUGAGUGCCUUCCUCUGCUCCCAGCAUGUGGUUUUCUCCGUCGGCCGCCUCCUGGACCUCCUGGUACCUGACAUCCCAGAGUCUGUGGAGAUCAAAGUGAAGCGGGAGUACUACCUGGCUAAGCAGGCGCUGGCCGAGAAUGAGGCUCUUUUUGGAACGAACGGAGCAAAGGAUGAGCAGCCCCAGGGCUCAGAGCUCAGCUCCCACUGGACACCCUUCACGGUUCCCAAGGCCAGCCAGCUGCAGCAGUGACGCCUGGAAGGACAUCUGGUGGUCCUUAGGGGAGUGGCCCCUGCUGAGCCCUUCGAGCAGCAUCCUUUUCGUCUUCCCUCAGGCAGUGGCUGUGUGAACCGCUGGCUGCUGUUGUACCUCAUCUCUGGGCACAUUGCCUGCUUCCCUCCAGCGCUGGCUUCUCUCCUCAGAGCGCCUGUCACUCCAUCCCCGGCAGGGAGGGACCGUCAGCUCACAAGGCCCUCUUUGUUUCCUGCUCCCAGACAUAAGCCCAAGGGGCCCCUGCACCCAAGGGACCCUGUCCCUCGGUGGCCUCCCCAGGCCCCUGGAUGCGACAGUUCUGAUCAGACAGGUGGGCUUUGUGGUCCUUGCCACCCCGGCCACAUCACCCUCUCCUCUUAUACCUGGUGACCUUAGAAUGUUGCAGAGCGCAGGGCUGUUCUCCCUCGUGUCCUCUGGACCCACCCGCCUCUUCCUGCCCUGUCCGCGCAGGGACAUCACCCAUAUGCCCCAGCUCUCGGACCCUGCAGCUCUGUGUCCCAGGCCACAGCAAAAGUCUGUUCAACCCCUCCCUCCAUUCCCAGUUAUCUGGGUCCUCUGGAUUCUUCUGUUUCUUGAAUCAGGCUCUGCUUUCCCCCUAGCCACUACAGGCAGCCUCUGACAGUGUCGCUUUAAUUGCAUUCUGCAGCAAUUACAUGUGUCCUUUUGAUCCUUGCUCAACUUCCCUCCCUCUCCCAGCUCCUGGCCCCUGGCCCAGGGCCCCUCUUGCUGUUUUUACCUCUGUUCCUUGGGGCCUAGUACACAGCAAGCACCCAAAUGGGGGAGAUUUUGGGAUGAGAGGAGGAAACGUGUAUACCUGUAACAUCUGGUGGCUCUUCCCCCAGAAGUUUGUGUUUACACAUAAUUGUUUUCCACGCUGGAUCAUAAUGUGACGUGCAGUUUCGCCCUGUGCUGAGGAGCCACGUGAACCUUCCCCUGGCUAACUGUUGCUACCCCGCAACAUUCCCAGUGUAGCCGUCCACUUGCUAAAAAAUGGAUCUGUGCUCAUCUGUAUUGAUUUCCUUGGAGUUCUACAAGUGGAACUUGAGUGUCAAAAAGAAUACGUGGUUUUUGG
rnacentral:sRNA from 1 species